GGAAGUGAAGGCAAUCUGGCUGCAAUAUGUGUCACCAGGGUGGAUUGGGCUGAUCUGGCUGGCUAGCUAGGUGUCCCCUUCAUCCCUCACUGCUCCAUGUGCAUCUCUCCCAAAGCUGCACACUCAGUCCAAGAGGACAGCCAACCCCAGUAGAAGAGGACUGGUCUUCAGUCAAACUUAAGUGAAUAGUUAUGCUCCCCUGCUAAAACCUCCAAACAAGCUCUUAAGAUGAUGGAGGAAGAUACAACAGGCCAUUAACAAUAAAACACAUUGAAUAGUUAGGCAAAAAAUU
rnacentral:snRNA from 2 species